UAAUGUAUAGUAUGUUUACUGUAGUAUUUUCUGUACAAUAUUGUCAGUUUUUUCAGAUUAUUUUUAUGUAUUUGUUGUUGUUAUUUACUGUAAUUGUAAACUGUACUGGAUACAGUAUUUUACGUUUGUCUGUUGUUUGCUGAGCUAACAGUGUUAUGCACACUACUGUAGUAGCAUGACAACUGGGACAUGUUUUGUUGUGAUUCUCCAUGUUGACUGAUUUGGGUAUAUGGAGAGAAAUCAAUUAUAUUUUCCUCAGUCUGCAGCAUUGGUCUUGUGUAGUGUUUGGUGAACAAUUGUAUAGUUGCACUUUCUCUGUGUACUUCAUUUACAGUACAGUAGAGAAUUAGACUUGCUAAAAGUGUUUUAGGUCAGCAACAGCAGUGUGUAACUGGUUCAAAAAUAUUAAAGUCAUAUGAAAUGUGUGUGUUUCGUAUGGUAACAAAAUAUUGUUUUUAUAAAGUUGUGUAUAGUUUUGACAAAAGUGUUCCAUUUUGCAAAUGAUCUGAAGUGUUGUGCUACUUUGGUGUAGGGUUGUGUUAAUUGUGUUUAGUGUUUUGACAAACCGGGCCCUGUUUUCAAAAUUGUGCUUAAGCAAUCGUAAAAAACUGUAAAACUAGUGUGGACCUGUCAAUGUCCUCACUAGUGAAUUGUGAAAAUAUUUCACAAUUUAAGUGGACAUUUGGUUCUCACAAGCAUAGACAAAAAAAAGUACACAUACACACACAGGUUUGUUUUGCUAUCAAAGUGAGGACAUUCCAUAGGCGUAAUGGUUUUUAUACUGUACAGACUGUACACUCUAUCCCCCUACACUACCCCUACCCCUAAACCUACCCAUCACACAAAACAUUCUGCAUUUUUACAUUUUUAAUAAAACAUUGUUUAGUAUGUUUUUAAAGCUAUUUUAAAUAUGACUCAUGAAAUGUCAUAUUUCAUGUUUAUGUCGUAAUAACAGUUUGUGUCAAAUUUGUGUCCUCAUAAAUCACACACACACACACAAUACAGUUUGGGGACAUGUUUUCUAAAGAAGUCUCUUAUGCUCACCAAGGCUGAUUUAUUUGAGCAGAAAUACUGUGAAACUGUAAUAUUGUGAAAUUUUCCAUUUCAGUAUUUUUUAAAUUUAUUCCUGUUAUGGCUGUGAAAGCUUAGUCAUAACUCCAGUCUUCAGUGUCGCAUGAUCUUUCAGAAAUCAUUCUAAUAUCAGCUAUUUUCUGAAACACUUCUGAUUCAUAUUACUCGAAUUGUUUGCUUUUCUUAUGAUGGAUCCUAGGCCUUCAACUUUUACUCAAUGUAUUUGAGAUGUCUUUACAAUAAAGCCUGGGGUGCUUUUAAAAAAAUCAAAAAUUCACAUUUUUUAAUGGAAUAUUGCACUAUUUAUUAUAAAUGAUUUAUCCGUGCACAUCACUAUUUUAAAAAAAAUUAUGUGCAUGCCCUCAAAAUCUUUGAUCAAGAUAACUCUUGCAAUGACAUCUCUUCUCUUCUCUGAUGAUGUUUCCUGGCGUGAGGGCGGGACAACCUGUUACUCACAUGAGAUCACGGCAAUAGCAAACAAUGAUACAAAAUCAAAUCAAUUCCCGAUGGACAAAAUCAAGACUUGCCCAAUUUUUUUUUUUUUUUUUCUUCAUAAAAACAUAUAUUCCAUAAAAAAAAUAAAAAUAAUAAUUCUCCAUUUUGAUUUCAUGCUUUGUUUAUAAUGAAGAUGAUGUUUUAAGCUCUGAAACUUGUAAAUUGUUUUAAUGUUCUUAUAAGUCAGAAGGAAAAUGAGGAAAUUGUUUUUUCAUGUCAUGACCCCAAACUUUUGAACGGUAGUGUGUGUAUAAUGCAAAAUUCUUUUUUCAUAACCAGUAUUUGCUAUAUCUAUUCUGUUAAAACCACAGUGUGGUGUCAUGUGUCACAAAAUCAGAUUUGGACAUGUAGAAAUCCCCUUAGAUUGGCCUGCAUUAUUGUGCUAAUCAGAGCUGGUUGAGAGAAGCCAGGCUUAUCAUCUAUCAUGUCCUUACAGAAGCUGCCCCAUGACUCCCUGGUAAAUUCCGGCAGCGAGACACUUCAGGGGAUGGAGCAGGGCGAUGAACCAGACUGAACACAGAACACAAUUGUUCAGGCUGCUGCCAGUAAUUCAUAAAUUUCAUCAUGGUUGUCAUGGGAACAGGCUGUCUCUUACGCUAGAGUCCCUCCAGCCAACUACAAAACCUGGGCACGGCCCUUCCUGCUAUGAUUGUGUAGGCAGUUCACAGAUUUGCCAUCAGUUCUACAGAACCAGAAAAAAGAAAGAAAGAAAAAAAAAACAGUUCUACUAGCACGUGUCCUGCUAGGAUGAUGGCCUAGUUUUUCUUAAAAAAAAAAAAAAGAUUUAAAAACAUUUGUGGACAUUUCAUGGUCUAACAGUGCACAUGUGGCUUAUUUUCAUUCCAUUUCAAUGAACUACGGAAAGAAAAGUUGGCCACCAUCCCUGUGCUGAGUAAAACUGUGCAAAUGAUGUAUCCUGUAUAAGUCAUUUGGGAGUCAUUAAAAUCUUGCUCUCUGGUGAACUUGUUUUAACAUGACUUCAGAGUCAGUUCUGUUCAGUUAAUAAAAAUUCUAUUUCCAUGAGUAAACAAUAUUUAAAUCAAAUAAGACUUAAGGAUUAAUAAUGAAAUCUACACUAAUGUUUGCUUGACAACCACAACAUAAAAAAGACUAUUGGGCUGCAUCCAAAAUAGCAUACUUAAAGUAGGCGGAACAAAAGAAGUAUGUCCGAAUUCACAGUACACAUAAAAGAGUAGACAAAAAGUACCCAUCUUUACUAUCCCAUGAGGUCACAGGAGAGGAUUUGUGGCAACUGACGGUGUAGGGUACAUGUGACAAGGGCAACGUGAUACUACACACAUUCAUACUAUAAAGAACAUACUUUUUUUUAGCAGUCGUGAAGUAAUUACUUAUUCAAAAUAAGUACUUACACAAGAGAGUAUGCGAUUUCGGACGCCUUGUUCUCUUCACCUCCAUAUUAGUCUUGGUGGAGUCACUUCCUUUAUAUCAUUGGAACAGGAAAUAUUCUCUGCGUCUGGGGAUUGACUCAGUCUGGUGACCAGAUCUAAAUGGUUGAUAUUUACUCAGGAGGCCCUGGGGGAGCUCAAGCUUCUGUUCUCUCUUUAAGGUCAGCUGGAGACAUGGACCUUUUUGCCCACUUCCUUGAGUGACUAUUUCCUUCAUUUGUCUUUCUUCCACUCAUGCCCUGUUAGUAAGUGUGAGUCCUGCAUCAAAAAAGUUGAAGCAGGCUCAUUUGUUACUUGGAGAUGACACUUCAUGACAUUUCCUGUACUUGGACAAAUACCACUGACUGAGACAUUCUGGGUUUAUUUGCAAAGCAAACAUUAAUAUAUAGGUCAUAACUGCCUGCUGUGAUUAUUCAUCAAGUGGUUGAGUUAUUUUUGGAUAACUGUAUGCAUCAGAUUAUUCCCAAAACAUGAAAAAGUUGUUGUAAGAUUGAAGACAAGAGUGACUUUUGUUUUAAAUGCCAACAAUGUUGUUUUAGGUUACACACCUAACUCUAAAUAUCAAAUACCAUAUCAAACUUCAACUUGUAACUCACUGCUGUAGAAAUGGGUGAAAAAAGAGUGAGAUCUUUUCACUUAGACUAGUAAACAACCACCUUGAACUUUACCAACCACUCUAGCAACACCCUGACGUCAUGGUGGCAAGUUUUGCAUCCACUUACGUUUUACAUUUCACAGUUAAGUUCUAACACGAGAUCUAGUUCUUUAUUUCUCCAGGAAAAAAAAAAAAAGCUCAUAUUUAACGCACUUAAUUCAUGACACAAUCUAUGACAUUAACCCUUGUUGUGAAACACUUCCUUUAUAGGACAUGACGUACGCUUCCUUAAUGUGCAAGGCAAAAAUAUUAUGAACAACCGCAAUUCCAAAAAAACCCAGUCAUUUCAUGGUAUCAAAAUAGGUUUUAUUUCACAGAAUUGAACAUUUGUCAAAAUUUUAUAAAUUUUGCAUAUAAAUGUUUUAAAAUUAGGAGCUUAAAUUAUGAUGACAUAAAAAAGUGACAUUCACAGAGUGGGUUUAUUCCAGGGCAGUCAAGUUCUGUCCUCUCUCGUUUAAUCAACCAUAAGAAUCACAGGGAUCAUAUGGAUAAAAAAAUCUUUUGAGGCAAUUAAUCUUAAACCUUGAAGGAAAACACUGAAUGAAGUCAAUUUAAGAGGAAAAUGGGAGAAGUCGCUAUUUGUAGAAGGAACAUUCAGACUAACUAUAUUGAAUGCUUGUCUCUUUAAUCGAUAAGUAUGAAGAGGAUGUAAAAACUAUGUGCUGUGUGACAGAUUCACACAGACAACAUGACCUUACAUUUGACUCAGAUGUCUGUGAAUUGGUCAGAGGUUAAAAUGUAAGAUACCAAAAAAAAAAAAGCAGGUCAUUCAAGUUAACACACAGGUCUCUUUUCCUGAGAGAUAGUACUAGUUGACACUAUUCAAAACUUAGUUUAGAUGGUUUGAUUUAAUGCAUUGUUAAUAUUGGCGUAUGAAAGCAACUUAACCUUUUAAGAGAAGCUUGGCCACAUUUUUGAGUCAUUUAACUCUUUGUUUUCCAGUCUUUUGAUUCCUGAAGAUCACUGGCUUCCCCUAGUGGUGAAAUUCUAAUUAAGCUUUUGAGGCUUCAGGUCAACUCAAGUGAAAAUCAUCAUCUGGCUCCCAACAUGCAUUAAUAUGUUGUUAGAAUGUCUGAUUCAUCCAUCAUAAUGCUAAAUUUCUUGAUAGUGCCUAAUAAUACAGCAGCCCUUUUUGUAACCGAAUUCCCUUUGAAAUAAACUCCUUCCAGUAAUGACAAAACAAACAAGCUCAACUAAAGGCAUAAAGGCAUUUUCAGUCAUAAAGGAACUGACUAUAUAUUAUCCAACAGCUGUCCAUCUCAUAGCUUUUCAAAGGCUGGAGCCCCGGAACAAAACAUUAACAUCUUAUGAAACUUUAUGAAACCCAUGCUCAGUGCCACCCUUUCCAACAAUUCAACAUCAUUUACAGAGCACCCACAAACUAACAAGCUACACAAUACUAUACCAAACCCACUAUUUCUUACAUUACAUGAAAUUAAAUUCACACCAAGUAUUCAGGUGUCAAUGUCGUAGAAAAAGUCUUCAUAAAGAUCAACAAAAAUCAAGCAGGGAUCAUUUUAAAACAAGAUCAAUCUUACAUACACACGUAAAAGAUCUCUGCAGUUGUGGCUGAACUAAAUUAAGAUUUGAACUAUAAUGAAGUUAAUGAUGAUGGAAAUGAGGACUUUUCUAAAGGGGUAGAUCACCUAAAAAUGAAUAUUCUGACAUAAUUUGCUCAUCCCCACGUCGUUCCAAACCUGUUAGACUUUAUUUCUUCUGUGGAACACAAAUGAGAUAUUCUAAAGAAUGUUUUAAAACGUUUUUUGUCCAUACAAUGAAAGUCAAUGGGGUCCAAGCAAAGUACAAUAUUGGACCCCAAUAACUUUCAUUAUAUCGACAGUUUUUUUUUUUUUUUUUUAAUACUGUAUCCUUGUUCCACAGAAGAAAGAUGGUCUUACAUGUUUGGAAUGAUGUGAAGGUGAACAAAUUAUGACAAUAUAAAUUUUAGGGUUAAGUAUCCCUUCAACAAUAUAUAAAAGAAAGGGAGAUGACAAAUGUUGGCUACAAAGUGAGUCUCAUCAUAUUGUAGCUAAUAAAGCCAUUGCCUUUGAUCUCAAUUAGUGUGAUGCCUUAUAAUUCCAGUUAUGUUAAAGACAACACAAAGGUAAACCUCAAAAUGUUAACAUACUUCACAUAGAUGCAUCUGCAUCUAACAAAUAAUUAGCAUGGAUUUGUAAAAGAGAAUCAAAAGUUGAGAGCAAAAAAAAAAAAAAAAAAAAAAAAAAAGGGG